rnacentral:rRNA from 1 species
UACGGAGGGUGCGAGCGUUAAUCGGAAUUACUGGGCGUAAAGCGCACGCAGGCGGUUUGUUAAGCUAGAUGUGAAAGCCCCGGGCUCAACCUGGGAUGGUCAUUUAGAACUGGCAGACUAGAGUCUUGGAGAGGGGAGUGGAAUUCCAGGUGUAGCGGUGAAAUGCGUAGAUAUCUGGAGGAACAUCAGUGGCGAAGGCGACUCCCUGGCCAAAGACUGACGCUCAUGUGCGAAAGUGUGGGUAGCGAACAGGAUUAGAUACCCCCGUAGUCC